rnacentral:rRNA from 1 species
UACGUAGGGCGCAAGCGUUGUCCGGAAUUAUUGGGCGUACAGAGCUCGUAGGCGGUUUGUCGCGUCUGCUGUGAAAACUCGAGGCUCAACCUCGGGCUUGCAGUGGGUACGGGCAGACUAGAGUGCGGUAGGGGUGACUGGAAUUCCUGGUGUAGCGGUGGAAUGCGCAGAUAUCAGGAGGAACACCGGUGGCGAAGGCGGAUCUCUGGGCCGAUACUGACGCUGAGGAGCGAAAGCGUGGGGAGCGAACAGG